rnacentral:lncRNA from 1 species
UCGCCACGUGCUGCAUGGCCGACACGUCGACACGAGUUCCACACGGGAAGCCACGCGGGCAAUCUGUGUGCUAAGUUGAUCAAACAACUUGAGGCCACUCUUGCACGCACGAAUGACCUAGAUCACUUUUCCAGAUAAGCCUGAUCGAACAGUCUGGAUUUAUUUUCUAAAUAAGCAAGAUCUGACUGUUGUCAUUGAUCCACGCAGGCCCAGAUGGAUGACCCAGAUCGACAGGAGAGAAGUAUUUAAAUACCUCAUUUGGCCGAACCCCAAAUCCUAGCCGACAGGAGAAAAAUAAGAAGGGCGGCUGGAAGGAGACCCAACCGCCAGAGGAAUGCUGGCGCCAUAGUGCUGGAACGUCAAAAAUACACUAGUAGGCUGAAAAUUCUUCCCGUUCUUCUUAUUUCUCUGCCCUUAGUCAUCUAAUAUUUUUUCGAUGUAGGUUAACCGAGAGAAGUGCAAACCGUGAGGAAGGAAUAGUGGAGCUUGGC